GACAGAGGGUGCAAACGUUGUUCGGAAUUACUGGGCGUAAAGCGCGUGUAGGCGGCCAUGCAAGUCGGAUGUGAAAGCACUCGGCUCAACCGGGGAAGUGCACCCGAAACUGCGUGGCUAGAGUCUCGGAGAGGAUCGUGGAAUUCUCGGUGUAGAGGUGAAAUUCGUAGAUAUCGAGAGGAACACCGGUGGCGAAGGCGGCGAUCUGGACGAUGACUGACGCUGAGACGCGAAAAGCGUGGGGGAGCGAACAGG
rnacentral:rRNA from 1 species